GAUGAACGCUGGCGGCGUGCCUAAUACAUGCAAGUCGAGCGAACAGACGAGGAGCUUGCUCCUUCGACGUUAGCGGCGGACGGGUGAGUAACACGUAGGUAACCUACCUAUAAGACUGGGAUAACUUCGGGAAACCGGAGCUAAUACCGGAUAAUAUUUCGAACCGCAUGGUUCGAUAGUGAAAGAUGGCUUUGCUAUCACUUAUAGAUGGACCUGCGCCGUAUUAGCUAGUUGGUAAGGUAACGGCUUACCAAGGCAACGAUACGUAGCCGACCUGAGAGGGUGAUCGGCCACACUGGAACUGAGACACGGUCCAGACUCCUACGGGAGGCAGCAGUAGGGAAUCUUCCGCAAAGGGCGAAAGCCUGACGGAGCAACGCCGCGUGAGUGAUGAAGGUCUUCGGAUCGUAAAACUCUGUUAUUAGGGAAGAACAAACGUGUAAGUAACUGUGCACGUCUUGACGGUACCUAAUCAGAAAGCCACGGCUAACUACGCG
rnacentral:rRNA from 1 species